rnacentral:other from 1 species
GGCACCCUGCGCGGUGCGUGAAUGGGAUAUGUCUUUGAACCGAUAUUUCUAUCGUGGAAUCACCGCACACGGGCCGUCCUGUGACGCCCCUUCGGGGGAACUAAUGGUCUGCCCCGGAGAUUCCCCCUGUCUUUUGACGGGUUCAAUCGACUUUUCCCACACGGCCGAGGCGGGGCGCCU